UGCCUGUUUUUACAAAAACAUUUCUUUUAGUAAAAUUUUAAAGGUAAAUUUUGCUCAAUGAUUUAUUUUAAAUAGCUGCAGUAUUUUGACUGUACAAAGGUAGCAUAAUAAUUAGUUCAUUAAUUGUGAACUGGAAUGAAUGAAUAUAUGAAAUACUCUUUUUAUUUAUUUUAAAAUUAAAAUUUUAUUUUUAAGUUAAAAAGCUUAAUUGAUUUUUAGGGACGAUAAGACCCUAUAGAGGUUUAAUUAUUUUUAUAUAAUAAAUUUUUAUUGUUUAUGUUAUAAGAUUUUUAUGUUCUUAUUAUUUUUUCUGGGGCGGAAUAUAAAUUUAAACUUUAUUUUUUUUUUUCAUUUAUUUAUGAUUAUGUUGAUCCAUUUUUAAAUUGUUUUGAUUAUAAGAAAUAGCUACCUUAGGGAUAACAGCGUAAUUUCAAUGGGGAGUUCUUAUUUAUAUUGAAGUUUGCGACCUCGAUGUUGAAUUAAGAUUAGAUUUUGGGGUAGUUUUUAAUUUUCUAAGUCUGUUCGACUUUUAAAUUCUUACAUGAUCUGAUUCAAACCGGA
rnacentral:rRNA from 1 species